rnacentral:rRNA from 1 species
ACGAACGCUGGCGGCGUGCUUAACACAUGCAAGUCGCACGGAAAGGCCCUGCUUGCAGGGUACUCGAGUGGCGAACGGGUGAGUAACACGUGGGUGAUCUGCCCUGCACUUCGGGAUAAGCCUGGGAAACUGGGUCUAAUACCGGAUAGGAGCCAUUUUUAGUGUGAUGGUUGGAAAGUUUUUUCGGUGUAGGAUGAGCUCGCGGCCUAUCAGCUUGUUGGUGGGGUAAUGGCCUACCAAGGCGGCGACGGGUAGCCGGCCUGAGAGGGUGGACGGCCACAUUGGGACUGAGAGACGGCCCAGACUCCUACGGGAGGCAGCAGUGGGGAAUAUUGCACAAUGGGCGCAAGCCUGAUGCAGCGACGCCGCGUGGGGGAUGACGGCCUUCGGGUUGUAAACUCCUUUCGCUAGGGACGAAGCUUUUUGUGACGGUACCUAGAUAAGAAGCACCGGCUAACUACGUG